rnacentral:rRNA from 1 species
GACGUAGGGCGCGAGCGUUGUUCGGAAUUAUUGGGCGUAAAGGGUGCGUAGGCGGUUUGGUAAGUCUUGUGUGAAAUCUACAGGCUCAACUUGUAGUCUGCACGAGAAACUGCCGGGCUUGAGUGUGGGAGAGGUGAGUGGAAUUCCUGGUGUAGCGGUGAAAUGCGCAGAUAUCAGGAGGAACACCGGUGGCGAAGGCGGUUCUCUGGGCAUGUCCUGACGCUGAGGAGCGUAAGUGUGGGGAGCGAACAGG